UCAGUUCNGAUUGCAGGCUGCAACCCGCCUGCAUGAAGUCGGAAUUGCUAGUAAUCGCGGAUCAGCAUGCCGCGGUGAAUACGUUCCCGGGCCUUGUACACACCGCCCGUCACACCAUGGGAGCCGGUAAUACCCGAAGUCAGUAGUCCAACCUCGUGAGGACGCUGCCGAAGGUAGGAUUGGCGACUGGGGUGAAGUCGUAACAAGGUAAC
rnacentral:rRNA from 1 species